rnacentral:lncRNA from 1 species
AGGAGGACCAUUACACUACGUGAAGAGUUAUCUAUCUUUGUUUUCCUUCAGUCACUCAGGAAAGUACCAGCCCGACCUGCCUCCUGUCCUGGACAGCUACAGAGGAACACAGAGCAGAACACAGACAUAAAGACGUCCUCGUCGGAUACAGACGCAACACACACACAGCAGUGUUCUGAGGUUUCACAGCAGAGGAAGCCAAGAGGACAAACAGACACAGCGGCUCCAUCUCUCUCUCUUCCUGCACGCCCUCGCUGCAUCUCAGGGGACUGAGGUUGCUCUACCGAGCCUCUUUCCCCCCCCCCCCACGGCCGGACGUUGCAGAUUGAUGAUGCGCAGCAGUCAAUGGAUCGCGUGAGGUUUCAGAGAACUGCCACCAUCAUAGCCCGGGGGUCCAGGGGAGCCAGCGGCGCCUGGUCAGUGGACUCCUUCUCUGGGUCGGGCUCCUCACCGUCAGCCACUGGUCUCCAUCACCCUACUCGUCAUCACCAGGCCACACGCACUGCCUCUGCCAGAAAUAGUUUCAGCUCCAAAACCCACAGCAGACUCAUCUCUGAGCAUACCCCUGGAGCCACAAAGAGUGCCAUGGCAAAUGCUCACCUUUGAACCCACAAGUAUAGAUGAUAAUGAUGUCUCGGUGGCGAGAAGUGGGAUCAAGUGGAAGACGCAGUCCAAGGCRAAUAAUUUUGUCUCCCUAAAGGGCGGAUCCCUGACCAUCAACCARGAUGGUUGUUACUUMCUGUAUCUUCAGGUGACUCUGGAGACACCAGAGGUGUCUGGACAGCACAUAGUGAGAGUGAACAAGCCCAACAGAGUCCUGCUGGAAGUAAGGAUGACCAACACCUCCCUCAGCACAGGGUUCCUGGGCAGGGCUGUGGAUCUAGCAGCCUCUGACACCCUCACAGUCACUGUCUCCCCUGGWGCCAGGAUCAACACCASCUACACCGCCACAUACCUGGGYAUCAUAGGUCCAAAAUUAUAUCUGUAGAUUCUAUWGGAUAUAGACACUCCUGUCUUCAUAGACACAUGCUGGGGGCUAGAUCUGGGAGUCAUUUGGUAGGGGUUGAUUGAAUAGAUCCUGGGGAUCUGGAGUUAACUGGGAUCAACCCAUCAUCCCACCACCUGUCAGAGAGAUGGAGUAGUGGGGAAGAUCAUGUGGGAGACACCGUGUAUUUGACUGAAACUGAUUCAGUCCGACUCCCUGCUCAUCACAGAAGAUUAUUCCACUCCUUUAUMCUCUACCUAGCCUUCCAACUGAUUUUGAGCUGCAAGGAUUUUAUUUCCAGAAUUCUACAGAUUUUUUAAUUUGAUUUUUAUUUAACCUAUAUUUAACUCGGCAAGUCAGUUAAGAACAAAUUCUUAUUUUUUUUUGGUUGGCCCUUCUCAAUGAGGGCCAACCAAAAUGCAAAAGGCCUCCUGCAGGGAAGGGGGUUUAAAAAUGUAAUAUAAUAAUGCGUCUUGUAAUGUUGGAAAAAUAUGUUUAAAAGUAUUGGUCAUCAUGGGUUAUGGGUUGUACUGUUACUUUAGCAUGUUUCUCUCUUGGAUGAAGUAGCACUGUUUUUAUCGCUCAGGAUUAUAGUUAGUAUGUUUUUCCAGUAAAUAUAUUUUUUUUAAGCUAUGAAUGAAGGGAUUGUCUUAUCAAGUCAUGUGCACAGGGUUGUUGAGAGAAUGCACAGUAUCAACAUAUCUUUAAUGUUUACUUUAAUAUUUGCGUAUUGCUUUGUAUUUAAAAUAUUUGUUUUUUACCUAUUUAUGUCUUAUUACAAUAUUAUCUUAUUAUUAUUUUCUUCUUAUUUAUUUUCUAUAUCUAUUUUGAAGGACAUGUUGAGUAUGUUGUAGGAUGAGAUGUAGAGAUAAACAAUGAAUGUAUGUCACUAACCAGGUUUCCAUUCAAUCGUUUUAUGCGAGUAAAGUACGUCAGGUAAAACAUUUAAUGACAGGCCUGAUGGAAACAGAAAAUGUUUCGGUAAACCUUCCAAAUGUAGACAAAACAAAGUACGCUUUACAAGGUGGGAUCUUUUUGUGUCGGUAAAACAUCUUCAUGCCCAAAUAUUGAUGUAAUAACCAUCAUAUCGAAGUAAACUUGGAGUCACGCCACUACGACUCGGGAAAGCAUGCAGUUUAUUGGCUACAGAUUAAAUACAUUAUGAUGAACUUUUCAAUAACUUUUCAAUAAAUAUCGAGGGUCUUCUUCUGGCGAUGAUGAUCGAUUCUUGGCUGCCUUUUGACAAAUACAAAUAAUAUUGCUCUUAUCCAAUAAUCGCAUUAUGUUGGUAUCUCAAAUCAAAUGUAUUUAUAUAGCCCUUCUUACAUCAGCUGAUAUCUCAAAGUGCUGUACAGAAACCCAGCCUAAAACCCCAAACAGCAAGCAAUGCAGGUGUAGAAGCACGGUGGCUAGGAAAAACUCCCUAGAAAGGUCAAAACCUAGGAAGAAACCUAGAGAGGAACCAGGCUAUGAGGGGUGGCCAGUCCUCUUCUGGCUGUGCCGGGUGGAGAUUAUAACAGAACAUGGCCAAGAUGUUCAAAUGUUCAUAAAUAAUAAUAAUCACAGUAGUUGUCGAGGGUGCAACAAGUCAGCACCUCAGGAGUAAAUGUCAGUUGGCUUUUCAUAGCCGAUCAUUAAGAGUAUCUCUACGACUCCUGCUGUCUCUAGAGAGUUGAAAACAGCAGGUCUGGGACAAGUAGCACGUCCGGUGAACAGGUCAGGGUUCCAUAGCCGCAGGAAAAACAGUUGAAACUGGAGCAGAAGCACGGCCAGGUGGACUGGGGACAGCAAUGAGUCAUCAUGCCAGGUACUCCUGUCCUAGGCAUGGUCCCAGGGCUCAGGUCCCCCGAGAGAGAGAAAGAAAGAGAGAAAGAGAGAAUUAGAGAGAGCAUACUUAAAUUCACACAGGACACCCGAUAAGACAGGAGAAGUACUCCAGAUAUAACAGACUGACCCUAGGCCCCCUAGACACAUAAACUACUGCAGCAUAAAUACUGGAGGCUGAGACAGGAGGGGUCAGGAGACACUGUGGCCCCAUCCGAUGAUACCCCCGGACAGGGCCAAACAGGCAGGAUAUAAUCCCACCCACUUUGCCAAAGCACAUAAAAAAGUAUGUUUGAUGGAAACAUCCCUGGCGGGGGAAUGCACAUAUCGUUUUAGCAGAUUUUAGAAUAUUAGCAUGAAAAUCUAACGCAAAUUGGAUGGAAACCUACUUUAUAGCGCCAAAUAAACUAGGAUAAAAUGGUACAUUGUUACUAAUUCCACAAGUGAAGUUCCCGCUGGGAAACAUGAAUGUAAUCUAUUAUAUUAAGAAAGCACUGGAUUUUUUUUUUCUCCAAACAAAUAAAUGAAGUAGAAUAAUU